GAUGAACGCUAGCGGGAGGCUUAACACAUGCAAGUCGAGGGGCAGCACGAGUAGCAAUACUUGGUGGCGACCGGCGGACGGGUGAGUAACGCGUAUGCAACCUACCAUUUACCGGGAAAUAGCUCGAAGAAAUUUGAAUUAAUGUCCCAUAGUAUCUAAGAGUAGCAUUAUUUUUAGAUUAAAGAUUUAUUGGUAAAUGAUGGGCAUGCGUCCCAUUAGUUAGUUGGCGAGGUAACGGCUCACCAAGACUACGAUGGGUAUGGGGUCUAAAAGGAUGGUCCCACACACUGGCACUGAGAUACGGGCCAGACUCCUACGGGAGGCAGCAGUGAGGAAUAUUGGUCAAUGGGCGAGAGCCUGAACCAGCCAUCCCGCGUGCAGGAAGAAUGUCCUAUGGAUUGUAAACUGCUUUUCCACUAGAAGAAUAAAGAGCUACGUGUAGUCUUUACGACGGUAUAGUGGGAAUAAGCAUCGGACUAACUACGUGCCAGCAGCCGACGGUAAA
rnacentral:rRNA from 1 species